rnacentral:rRNA from 1 species
GUAAUCACUUGUCCCCUAAUUAGGGACUAGUAUGAACGGCCAAAUGAGGGCCUGCCUGUCUCCUGGGGCCAACCAAUGAAACUGAUCUCCUAGUACAAAAGCUGGGAUAGACCCAUAAGACGAGAAGACCCUGUGGAGCUUUAAACUCAACCUACUGCCCACCCCAAACGUCCACGGACCCAAACACCUCUAAUAGCUUAAGUUUUAAGUUGGGGCGACUACGGAACAAAAAAAAACUUCCAUGCAUCAGAGUAACCCCGUCCCAGGCCAACAAGCCCACGACACCAAAGAUAAACCCGACCCAGUAAAACUGAUCAACGAACCAAGCUACCCCAGGGAUAACAGCGCCAUCCUCUUCAAGAGUCCCUAUCGCCAAGAGGGUUUACGACCUCGAUGUUGGAUCAGGACACCCAGGUGGUGCAGCUGCUACCAACGGUUCGUUUGUUCAACGAUGAAAGUCCUACGUGAU